rnacentral:lncRNA from 1 species
CCUCCCCAACUCAACCUCAUCUUCCUCGCCCAACCUAACAUCAUCAUCUCCCAACUCAACGCUCUUCCUCCCCCAACUCAACCUCAUCUUCCUCGCCCAACUCAACACAAUCAUCUCCCAACUCAACCUCAUCUUCCUCCCCAACAUCAUCUUCCUCCCCAACUCAACAUCAUCUUCCUCUUCCAAUUCAUCACGCUCUUCCUCCUCCAACUCAACCUCAUCUUCCUCCCCAACUCAUCAUCAUCUUCCUCUUCCAACCCAACACAAUCAUCUCCCAACUCAACUCUUCCUCCCCAAAAUCAUCUUCCUCCCCCAACCCAACCUCAUCUUCCUCCCCCACUCAAUGUCAUCUUCAUCCCCAACCCAACCUCAUCUUCCUCUUCCAACUCAUCAUCAUCAUCUCCCAACUCAACGCCCUCUUCCUCCCCAACAUCAUCUUCCUCCCCAUCAACCUCAUCUUCCUCCCCAACCUCAUCUUCCUCACCCAACUCAACCUCAUCUUCCUCUUCCAACUCAACAUCAUCUUCAUCCCCAACUCAUCAUCAUCUUCCUCCCCCAACUCAACCUCAUCUUCCUCACCCAACUCAAUGUCAUCAUCUCCCAACUCAACGCCCUCUUCCUCCCCAAUGUCAUCUUCCUCACCCACUCAUCAUCAUCUUCCUCACCCAACUCAACCUCAUCUUCAUCCCCAACUCAACGCUCUUCCUCCCCAACCUCAUCUUCCUCCCCAACUCAACAUCAUCUUCCUCCCCAACCCAACCUCAUCUUCCUCCCCCAACUCAACCUCAUCUUCAUCCCCAACUCAUCAUCAUCUUCCUCACCCAACCCAACGCAAUCAUCUCCCAACUCAACGCGCUCUUCCUCCCCAACCUCAUCUUCCUCACCCAACUCAUCAUCAUCUUCCUCACCCAACUCAUCAUCAUCAUCUCCCAACUCAACUCUUCCUCCCCAAAAUCAUCUUCCUCACCCAACCCAACCUCAUCUUCCUCCCCCACUCAAUGUCAUCUUCAUCCCCAACCCAACCUCAUCUUCCUCUUCCAACUCAACGCGCUCUUCCUCCCCAACAUCAUCUUCCUCACCCAACCCAACCUCAUCUUCCUCCCCCACUCAAUGUCAUCUUCAUCCCCAACCCAACCUCAUCUUCCUCUUCCAACUCAUCA